rnacentral:lncRNA from 1 species
CUAUGCUUUAACAGCAUGCCACCCUCCUGCUCAGGAAGAGGUGGCUGAUGGCAUGCUUCAGAUAUGAAGUAACUUUGGCUUAAUGCUGGGCUAUAGGGAAUUGGGGAUUUCUUUCUUUCUUUCUUUUUCUUUUUUUUUUUUUUUACAAAUUAGCAUUUUAAAUUGACAAGAAACUCUAGGCUUCCAGAUUACUAUUAUUAGUGAAAAAUGUUUAAAUACUGUGCAUUUUGAAUUAUAAUGUAUUUGAGAAAGAUUUCUGCUUUUCUUUUUCUUAAAGUUUUUGAGAAGAAAUCAUUGCAGUUUAAAAUCUACUAGUGUAGAGCUUUUAUUCUUUUACUCAUCCUCUAUGCUAAGAGAGAGAAAGAGAAAUCGAUCUAUGUAUUGGACCAUAAUGAUCAAUAUAAUGGUCUCUGAUUCAGCACGCAAGCUUCUCCCCCAGUGGUCUCUGAUUCAGCCCGCAAGCUUCUCCCCCACCUUGGUGCAACCUAUAAAUUCUUUGUCAAGAGUUUACCUCAGAGGCAUAUGCAACAAGUUGGAUUUGAACAAAUCUUAUCAAAAUGAGGGUUCAUACAUAUCAACUGAACUAAUGACAAUGUAAAUGAAUUCUCAGAAAAAUUUUUUAACAGCUUGACUUUAAAUGAUUUUAGCCCUGAAAAAUGGAGGAGCAACAUAGAUAGACUUAACGUUAUAUUGCACAACUUUGCAGAGAUUAGACACAGGGAGGGAAAGCCAGAGAUCCUACUCUUUCUGGAUCUCUAGAUCUGAAAGAAUUGAUUUUAUUCUUGAAGAAAUAGGAGAAAAACUUUUCAUUCUCCUUCGAAGAUUAUAGUGUCUCUCCCCAGUGAAUUAAUUUCAGAAAUAGAAAACUUUAAGAGCAUUUUUAAUUGAUUAAACUUGCUGACAGAACAGAACUUAUCUCUGACAAGUGACAGGGAAUAAGGAUGUGGGCAUAUGACAUUUCAACUUUGAAAAAGGACCCAUAGAGGAGGUUGGAAAGGGAUGUGAGAAGCUAAUUCUCUCUCACUCAUAACAACAGGCUAAUAUCUGGAGAAAAAUGGGAAUGAAAUCAAUAUGUCUAGAUUACAUUGACAAGUGCUGUGUAAAAUCUCUCUAGUCAUAAAACAUUAAAAUAUACUAAUUUUCAGGAGAAAAUCAGAUGUAGAAGAAGAUAAAAAAUUAGGAAAGCAAAUUUCUUUUCAAUGAAGGUAUCAGGAGGAAUAAGUGGGGACAAAUUACACAGGAAGAUAUCUAAGGACCAAUUUUCUUUUUUUUUUUUUUUUUUUUUUUUUUUUUUUUUUUGGAUAAGUAGGAUGUCUUUCUUUUUCUUCUCCCUCUACCCUCAAAUAAAUGAGGAAUGGCAAAGAAGUCUUUUGUGAAAAAUAUGUCAGGAGUAGGAAGAAAGAUGGGAACUCACAUAAGAACAUCUGUUCUGCAAAGCCAUUUGAAAAAAUAACUGGGUAUUAACGUGAAAGAAAAUGUGCUCAGCAUGAAACUAACCGCAAGUAAUGUGGUAGCAGGGAGGUGGAAGAGUGACACAAGGAACUUGCACCCCCACUGAGAGAGAACUUCUGAGUGUCCGAAUCCAAGUCAUCCCCUCAGUUAAUGUAAGAGGAAGUGGUGACAGACAAUAUCCAGGCAAAUUGUCUGUGAAGUGGCACAAGUUGCAACUGAAUCAAGAUCUAGAGAUGGAAAAGCCAUAUUAAAACAAAUGAAAAUGAAAAUAAAUUUUAGGGUUUUUGUUUAUUUUAUUUUGACUUUACAUGGUGCAGUGGAAACGAAUCCAACUAUGAACCAUGAGGUUAUGGGUUCAUUCCUGGCCUCACUCAGUGGGUUGAGGAUCUGGGCGUUGCCCUGAGCUGUGGUGUAGGUCGCAUGGAUCUGGCAAUGCUAUGGCUGUGGUGUAGGCCGGCACUGCAGCUCCAAUUCAACCGCUAGUGUGGGAACCUCCAUAUGCCAUGGAUGCGGCCCUAAAAAAAGACAAAAGACAAAAGACAAAAAAUAAAUAAAUUCUGUAUUUUUUAGAUGUCCCUUUUAUUUCAAUUUCACAUACUUCAGAGACAGUUUUGAACAAUUGGAGAAUAUGGUCAAAUGCUUUCAAUUGCCUAAGAUUCUGAAAAUGCUUGAUUUUUAUAUCUGGAAUUAUAAGAAUAUUAUCAAAUUUGCUAUUGUUGCCAAAAGAGACAUAGCCAGAAAGCACCUUUCACAACCUCUUUUAACUCAGGACAGUUUUAAAGUAUCUUUAUCUAACAAUUUAGUUGUUUCAGUGUUCAAGAAAGUAGUGAAAAGAGAAAUGUUUGCAAAUAUAAUCUUUUUAAAAUUGAAAAAAAAAAACAAAACUGUCAAAAGUUGGAGUUUUGUUUGUGACUCAGCUGGUUAAGGACUGAACAUUUUCUCUGUGAGGAUGUGGUUUUGAUCCCCAGCCUUGCUCAGUGGGUUAAGGAUCUGGUAUUGCUGCAAGCUGUGGCAUGGGUUGCAGAUGUGACAGGGAUUAGCUGUUGUCAUGGCUGUGGCAUAGGCCCAAGCUGCAGCUCUGAUUCAACUCCUAGCCUC